GUCCACGCCCUAAACGAUGCACACUAGUUGUUGUGAGGCUCGACCUUGCAGUAAUGCAGUUAACACAUUAAGUGUGCCGCCUGGGGAGUACGGUCGCAAGAUUAAAACUCAAAGGAAUAGACGGGGACCCGCACAAGCGGUGGAGCAUGUGGUUUAAUUCGACGAUACACGAAGAACCUUACCUGGACUUGACAUAGUAAGAACUUUCUAGAGAUAGAUUGGUGUCUGCUUGCAGAAACUUAUAUACAGGUGCUGCACGGCUGUCGU
rnacentral:rRNA from 1 species